rnacentral:rRNA from 1 species
UACGGAGGGUGCAAGCGUUAUCCGGAUUCACUGGGUUUAAAGGGUGUGUAGGCGGAUUUUUAAGUCAGUGGUGAAAUCUCCGGGCUCAACCCGGAAACUGCCAUUGAUACUAUUAGUCUUGAAUUCUGUUGAGGUGGGCGGAAUACAUCAUGUAGCGGUGAAAUGCUUAGAUAUGAUGUAGAACACCGAUUGCGAAGGCAGCUCACUAAGCAGACAUUGACGCUGAGGCACGAAAGCGUGGGGAUCAAACAGGA